rnacentral:rRNA from 1 species
AUGAACGCUGGCGGCGUGCCUAAUACCUGCAAGUCGAGCGAACAGACGAGGAGCUUGCUCCUUUGACGUUAGCGGCGGACGGGUGAGUAACACGUAGGUAACCUACCUAUAAGACUGGGAUAACUUCGGGAAACCGGAGCUAAUACCGGAUAAUAUUUCGAACCGCAUGGUUCGAUAGUGAAAGAUGGCUUUGCUAUCACUUAUAGAUGGACCUGCGCCGUAUUAGCUAGUUGGUAAGGUAACGGCUUACCAAGGCAACGAUACGUAGCCGACCUGAGAGGGUGAUCGGCCACACUGGAACUGAGACACGGUCCAGACUCCUACGGGAGGCAGCAGUAGGGAAUCUUCCGCAAUGGGCGAAAGCCUGACGGAGCAACGCCGCGUGAGUGAUGAAGGCCUUCGGAUCGUAAAACUCUGUUAUUAGGGAAGAACAAACGUGUAAGUAACUGUGCACGUCUUGACGGUACCUAAUCAGAAAGCCACGGCUAACUACGUG